GAUGAACGCUAGCUACAGGCUUAACACAUGCAAGUCGAGGGACCGGCGCACGGGUGAGUAACACGUAUCCAACCUGCCCUUUACUCGGGGAUAGCCUUUCGAAAGAAAGAUUAAUACCCGAUAUAAUGGAUGGGGAUGCGUCUGAUUAGCUUGUUGGCGGGGUAACGGCCCACCAAGGCGACGAUCAGUAGGGGUUCUGAGAGGAAGGUCCCCCACAUUGGAACUGAGACACGGUCCAAACUCCUACGUGAGGCAGCAGUGAGGAAUAUUGGUCAAUGGGCGCGAGCCUGAACCAGCCAAGUAGCGUGCAGGAUGACGGCCUAUGGGUCGUAAACUUCUUUUAUAUAAGAAUAUGUAUUAUAUGAAUAAGGAUCGGCUAACUCCGUGCCAGCAGCCGCGGUAAUAC
rnacentral:rRNA from 1 species